CUACGGAGGGUGCGAGCGUUGUUCGGAAUUAUUGGGCGUAAAGAGCAUGUAGGCGGUCUGUUAAGUCUGGUGUGAAAGCCCGGGGCUCAACCCCGGAAGUGCAUUGGAUACUGGCAGACUUGAGUAUGGGAGAGGAAAGCGGAAUUCCGAGUGUAGGAGUGAAAUCCGUAGAUAUUCGGAGGAACACCAGUGGCGAAGGCGGCUUUCUGGACCAAUACUGACGCUGAGAUGCGAAAGCGUGGGGAGCGAACAGGAUUAGAAACCCCAGUAGUCC
rnacentral:rRNA from 1 species